rnacentral:rRNA from 1 species
GACGAACGCUGGCGGCGUGCCUAAUACAUGCAAGUCGAGCGGACAGAUGGGAGCUUGCUCCCUGAUGUUAGCGGCGGACGGGUGAGUAACACGUGGGUAACCUGCCUGUAAGACUGGGAUAACUCCGGGAAACCGGGGCUAAUACCGGAUGCUUGUUUGAACCGCAUGGUUCAAACAUAAAAGGUGGCUUCGGCUACCACUUACAGAUGGACCCGCGGCGCAUUAGCUAGUUGGUGAGGUAACGGCUCACCAAGGCAACGAUGCGUAGCCGACCUGAGAGGGUGAUCGGCCACACUGGGACUGAGACACGGCCCAGACUCCUACGGGAGGCAGCAGUAGGGAAUCUUCCGCAAUGGACGAAAGUCUGACGGAGCAACGCCGCGUGAGUGAUGAAGGUUUUCGGAUCGUAAAGCUCUGUUGUUAGGGAAGAACAAGUACCGUUCGAAUAGGGCGGUACCUUGACGGUACCUAACCAGAAAGCCACGGC